UUCGCUCUGCACUUGAAGGUGUCCAGAAGGUAGUACCCUCUGAAUAUAUGCUUUAUCAUCAAUGUUAGACCUUUCAGCCUAAGCAUUGAUAGUUGUGGAUGACACUAGGAGAGUUGGGACAAUUUUCGUUGGUUUAUUUCUCACACAAUGCCAUGCCAACCUGAGGGGUUGGGGAUACAUAUUUAUAGGCUGCUAGCCAGCCAAGCAUAUGCUAAGAUGCUAGUCUAAGAUGUUAGUCUAAGAUGCUGCUAAGAUGCUAGUCCAAGAUGCUAUCCUAACUGCCAGUCCUUGAUGGUCAAGGAUUCUAUCCUAACAGCCACAAGGACCAUGUGCUGCAGCCCCACAAAGGACUAUGUGCUGCAGCCCCACAAAGACCAUAGUACAUAGACUUAUCCAUCAUUCUCCCCCUAAGUCUUGUACGUCGUCUUGUGGGAGAGUCAAAUCAUCCCAAUCCUGGAGCAGAGUUCGAGGAACUUGAUCCUCCCAAGAGGCUUGGUGAGCAGGUCUGCGAGCUGGUCCGUGGUGUUGAUGUAGCUCGCCUCGAUGCUCCCUUCUUCCAAGCAGCUGCGGAUGAAGUGAUACCUCAACCGGAUGUGCUUGCUCCGUUCGUGAAAAACGGGGUUCUUUGCCAGAGCCAGGGCGGACUUGCUGUCCACCAGGAGCUGCACCGUUCUGGUGUCUCGGACGAGGAGAUCACCAAGCAGUCGAGCGAGCCAGAGCGCCUGAGUGCAGGCGGUGGAGGCCGCUAUGUACUCGGCCUCACAGCUGGACAGGGCCACCACCUGCUGCUUGACCGAUUGCCAGCUCACGAGACACUUGCCGAGGAAGAAGAGGAUCCCGCUCGUGCUCUUGCUGGUGUCGAUGUCGCCGGCGUGGUCGCUGUUGCUGUACCCGACGAAGUGUGCCGCCCCCGGACACCUAGGGUAGUGGAGGCCGUGGUCGAGGGUCCCUGCCACGUAGCGGACGAUCCUCUUCACUGCCUACUGGUGCUCCGACGUCGGUCGCUCCAUGAACCGACUGACAUAGCCGACGGAGAAUGCCAAGCCGGCCGUGUGUGGGCGAGGUAGCGAAGGCUCCCCACAAGGCGUCGGUACUGCGUAGCGUCUACUUCCUCUGUCGUGCUGUCGCGGCUCAGUUUCAGCCUCUCCUCCAUCGGAGUGAGAGCUGGGUGGCAGUCGGUGAGCCCAGCUAGCUCAACGAUGCGCUUGGCAUAGGCGGACUGUCGAAGCGCGAUCCCAGAGUGAUCCUGGUGCACCUCGAUCCCUAGAUAGAAGGAGAGGAGCCCCAGAUCACUCAUCUGGAAGGUGGCCUUCAUGUCUUCCUCGAACGCCGCCACCUCUGCAUCUUUGAUGCCGGUGAUCACCAAGUCGUCAACAUAGACGCCCACCAGCACGGCAUUUCCUCCACUGCCCCGUCGGUAGACGGCCGCCUCAUGCGGGCUUUGCUCGAAGCCCAUCUUCUUUAGCGUGGAGUCCAGCUUGGCGUUCCACGCCCUAGGUGCCUGUCGUAGGCCGUAGAGAGCCUUACGCAGGCGGAGUACCUUGCCCUCCUGGCCAGGGAUCGCAAAUCCCGGUGGUUGAUGUACAUAGACUUCCUCCUUCAAGUCGCCGUUGAGGAAUGCCGACUUGACAUCCAUGUGAUGGACACGCCAGCCCUCCUGGGCAGCUAGCGCAAGGAGAAGUCGCACGGACUCCAUCCGUGCCACGGGAGCGAAAGCAUCAUCGAAGUCGACUCCUUCCUGUUGCAAGAAGCCUCGGGCCACCAAGCGAGCCUUGUGCUUGAUGAUGGCGCCGGCUCCAUCCCUCUUCAGCUUGAACACCCACUUAAGGGUGAUUGCGCGGUGACCACGAGGGAGGUCCGCGAGCUCCCACGUGCGGUUCUGCUCGACCGCAUCCAUCUCCAACUGCAUCGCGGCGCGCCAUGCCGCGUCUUUCUCGGCCUCUGCAAAAGACCGAGGUUCGCCGUCCUCACACGCGAGUUGUAGCUGCGCCUCCAGGUCGCGUGGCACCAGUCCCGGCACCGGCUGGUCGCCGAGUAGAUUAUCCAUCGUACGAUACCGUAGCGGUUCGCCGCUAUGAUACGCGUCGAUGCGCUCCUCGUCGUGAGUGAGCGGGGAAGCGAACUUCAUCGGGUUGUGCUCUGCGUGAGCUGGUGCUGAUGAAGACGAGCCCGGAGUGGUGACUGUCGGGGCUGGAGUAUGCGGCGUCGCCGGUUGUGGUGCCGUCGGCGUAGCAGGCACCGGAGUCGAUGUAGUUUUGGGGGCUGGGGUAGACGUGCUCGGCGAAGAGGAGCUGCUUGCUCCCCCAACUUCCUUGAAGUGGACGUACUCGACAAUGAAGUCGUCAUACGUCGGCGUCAAGCCGUCGUCCACCGCCUUGUCCCAUUUCCACCCUCGCCCUUCGUUGAACUCAACGUCUCGCGCCAUGCGCACACGCUGUGUCUCUGGGUCGAGGAUGCGGUAGGCCUUUGAGCCCUCCGCAUAGCCGAUGAAGACUCCCGGAGUACUCCUGUCGUCGAGCUUGCCGAUGUGGCCGAGCUCUUUGGCGAACGCAAGGCAGCCAAAGAUCCACAAGUGAGAGACCGCCGGCUUCCGCCCAUGCCAGGCCUCGUACGGCGUCCUGCCGUCGAGUGCCUUAGUAGGCGAACGGUUGAGGAUGUAGACGACCGUUAGCACCGCCUCUCCCUAGAAAACAGCCGGCAUCCCUCUCUCCUUGAGGAGAGCCCGAGCCAUCCCCACAACCGUCUGGUUGCGCCGCUCGACGACGCCGUUUUGCUGCGGGCUGUACGGCGCGGAGUAGUGGCGCUGGAUGCCCUCAUCAGCGCAGUACGACGCGAAUUCAGCCGCCGUGAAUUCGUCACCGUUGUCAGUGCGCAAUACGCGCAGUUUGCGGCCGCUCUCCGCCUCCACAGCAACCUGCACACGCCUGAUGGCGUCCGGCGCCUCUCCCUUACUGCCGAGGACCAUCACCCACAUGUAGCGAGAGAGGUCGUCGACGAGCAGCAGGAAGUAGCGUCGACCUCCUGGUGUGGCUGGCGUCACCGGGCCACACAGAUCUCCGUGCACGAGCUCCAGCCUCUCCUUGGCCCGAAAACUCGCCUGCUGGGGAAAGGGGAGUCGUCUCUGCUUCGUCAGCACACAGAUGUCGCAGAACUGCUCCACAUGGUCGAGGCAUGGCAGGCCUCGCACCAUCUCCUUGGCACUUAGACGCUUAAGGGCCUCAAAAUGAAGGUGCCCAAAGCGCUCAUGCCAUUGCCACGCCUCGUCGUCCCGACGGACAGCGAGACAGACCGGUUGUGCCACCUGCACAUCAAGGACGUAGAGUCGAUUUUCACCUCUGGGUACCUUGGCGAGAAGGCGACGCUGGCGAUCCCAGAUGCGUAGGACCCCAUGCUCAAUCAGCACGCGUGAGCCGUUCUCAUCCAGCUGUCCCAAGCUGAUGAUGGAGUUCCUUAGCGCGGGGAUGUAGUAGACACCGGUGAGCAGCCGGUGCUCUCCCGUCUUGGUGGUGAAGAUGACGGAGCCGACGCCCUUAAUUUCCACAGCUGAGGCAUCCCCAAACUUGACGGAGCCUCGCGCGUCGGAGUCGAGCUCGGCGAAGAAUUCCCUUCGACCGGUCAUGUGGUGGGUGGCGCCGGUAUCGAGGCACCACCCCGCAGUCUUGUCCUUCCCGGAGCCAUCACCGAGAAGAGCGUGUGCUUUUGGCUCGUCGAGGUGGAGGGGAGCCUUUGCGACUGGUGUCGCUGAAGGUAGCUCGAUGCUUGCAUGCGCCAUGAACAGAGCCAUCUCCUCCUCCACCGCCUGUGCUACGUGAGCCUGGCCUUGUCGUGGUUGGCGACACUCAUUGGCCCAAUGGCCAAGCCGGCCACAGUUGUGGCAGCUGUUGUCCUGUGCCGGCUUGGGCUUGCCAGCGACGCCGUCCUUGGCGCCUCCGCGGGAGUCACCUUCGGCACGUCCUUCUGCCUUGCCGCCCCUUCGCGCCUUGCGCUGCUUGCCGCGCUUGCGGCCGCCCGUCGUGGAAGGAGGCUCCCCCUUCUUCUUGUCACCAAGGCUGGCAUCCCACUGCUCCCGAGUUAGGAGCAGCUUCCCGCCGGUGGUGAUGGGCCCCGAGGGAGGCUGUGGCUCGUCGGUGUCGACGACCUUGAGGCGACCUAUCGCCUCCUCGAUCGUCAUCGUGGAGAGGUCCAGCAAAGACUCGAUCGAGCGAGCCAUCUGCUUGUACUUCUCGGGAAUGCACCGGAAAAGAUUCUCGACAGCUCUCUCCUCGGUGUAGGUGGCAUCGCCGAACUUCACCAUCUUCUGCAGUAGAGCGUUGAGACGGAGAGCAAAGUCAUCAACGUCCUCACCUGGCUUGAAAGCCAGGCUCUCCCACUCCUUACGAAGUGCCUGCAGUGUGGACUUGCGAGCACGGUCGCUGCCGAUGCGUGCCGCGGCGAUGGCGUCCCAAGCCUCCUUGGCAGUCCGCUUGUUGGAAAGCGAGAACUGCAUCUCGGGCGGGACUGCGGCGAUGAGGGCGUCCAGCGCCCGUCGAUCUUCUUGGUGGUCGAAGUUGCUGUCCUGGACUGCCUCCCACAGCCGCCGCACCUGGAGCCUGAUCUUCAUGAUCGCGGCCCACUCGACGUAGUUGGUUUUAGUGAGGGUAGGCCACCCAACACUGGGACCAACAUCCCUGACCACAGUCCGGACCUCGUAGAGGCCGCGGUCCUGGUCGUUGCAGCCGCCGUCGCCGUGCGCACCUCCACCUGGAGCGCGGGCGUGCUCGGCUGCCCACUGCGCUGUCCGCUCUUGCGCCACUUUGGCACGGUCUACGUCGGCACCGUCGUCCGCAGGCGCGGAGCCGUUGGAGCUGCCGGAGCCGACGCGGAGUGCCUUGGCACCCGCUGUAGCCUCACGUGCUGCCUCCGCUGCUGUUGCUGCUUCUACCUCCGCCCUGGCUGCUGCCAGCUCCGCUGCAGCCAGCCUUGACACCCUUGCUGCCGCAGCAACUGCUGCUACAGCUGCUCGCUCACGCUCCUCUGCCACGGCGCGCUCGGCCUCCUGCCGGCGCCGUAUGCUCGAGGUAGCCGUGUGCUGAGAGCGACCUGCAGACAUGGCUCGCUGCAGGGGGGCUGUUGCGUGAAGAGGAGGCUGUUGCUGACGAGCUGCUGCUCGACAGUCCGGAGGGAGGGAGGUAACUAGGGGCAGUCGGAGCAGCUGCUGCUAACGGCUUAGGCUGCUCAGCUCCCGGUUAGAGAGGUGAGCAGGAAAUGCUCAGGGUACAAGAUAACGAGGCUCUGAUACCACCUGUUAGACCUUUCAGCCUGAGCAUUGAUAGUUGUGGANCUAUGUGCUGCAGCCCCAUAAAGACCAUAGUACAUAGACUUAUCCAUCAAUCAAGCUAACCUGACAGAUCAUCUGUCGAUUCAUGACACAACGCCCCUCGGCCUCCUCGACGAUGGCACGUAACCUCAGAAGCAGCUGCUGCAGCCUCUGCAGAUCCUCUUCUGUGGUUCUCUGCUCACAGCACUUACCAACCACGAAGGAUAUGGCUCUGCCUGCAAGAUCACCGAGAACUGCAGAAAUGAGCGCCUCCAUUACGAAGCACGAACGAACAGGAACUCUUCCAAAGCCUCUGAAUAGCUAGAUGGUACU
rnacentral:lncRNA from 1 species